rnacentral:rRNA from 1 species
UGGGGAAUAUUGCACAAUGGGCGGCAAGCCUGAUGCAGCGACGCCGCGUGCGGGAUGGAGGCCUUCGGGUUGUAAACCGCUUUUGUUCAAGGGCAAGGCACGGUCUUUGGCCGUGUUGAGUGGAUUGUUCGAAUAAGCACCGGCUAACUACGUGCC